CCUACGGGAGGCAGCAGUGAGGAAUAUUGGUCAAUGGGCGCUAGCCUGAACCAGCCAAGUAGCGUGAAGGAUGACUGCCCUAUGGGUUGUAAACUUCUUUUAUAUGGGAAUAAAGUGCAGUAUGUAUACUGCUUUGCAUGUACCUUAUGAAUAAGGAUCGGCUAAAUCCGUGCCAGCAGCCGCGGUAAGACGGAGGAUCCGAGCGUUAUCCGGAUUUAUUGGGUUUAAAGGGAGCGUAGGCGGGUUGUUAAGUCAGUUGUGAAAGUUUGCGGCUCAACCGUAAAAUUGCAGUUGAUACUGGCAUCCUUGAGUACAGUAGAGGUAGGCGGAAUUCGUGGUGUAGCGGUGAAAUGCUUAGAUAUCACGAAGAACUCCGAUUGCGAAGGCAGCCUGCUGGACUGUAACUGACGCUGAUGCUCGAAAGUGUGGGUAGCAAACAGGAUUAGAUACCCCUGUAGUC
rnacentral:rRNA from 1 species